rnacentral:tRNA from 1 species
GCUCAGUCAGUUAAAUGUCUGACUCUUGAUUUAGGCUCAGGUCAUGAUCUCAGGGUUGUGGGAUCAAGUCCCACAUUGGGCU